rnacentral:rRNA from 1 species
UUAGAGUUUGAUCCUGGCUCAGGAUGAACGCUAGCGGCAGGCUUAACACAUGCAAGUCGAGGGGCAGCGAGAUCAGUGCUUGCACUGAUUGUCGGCGACCGGCGCACGGGUGCGUAACGCGUAUGCAACCUACCCAUUACAGGGGGAUAACACUGAGAAAUCGGUACUAAUACCCCAUAACAUCCAGGGAGGCAUCUUCUUGGGUUGAAAACUCCGGUGGUAAUGGAUGGGCAUGCGUUGUAUUAGUUAGUUGGUGGGGUAACGGCUCACCAAGACAACGAUACAUAGGGGGACUGAGAGGUUAACCCCCCACAUUGGUACUGAGACACGGACCAAACUCCUACGGGAGGCAGCAGUGAGGAAUAUUGGUCAAUGGACGCAAGUCUGAACCAGCCAUGCCGCGUGCAGGAAGACGGCUCUAUGAGUUGUAAACUGCUUUUGUACGAGGGUAAACGCAGAUACGCGUAUCUGUCUGAAAGUAUCGUACGAAUAAGGAUCGGCUAACUCCGUGCCAGCAGCCGCGGUAAUACGGAGGAUUCAAGCGUUAUCCGGAUUUAUUGGGUUUAAAGGGUGCGUAGGCGGUCGGAUAAGUUAGAGGUGAAAUCCCGGGGCUCAACUUCGGAAUUGCCUCUGAUACUGUUCGGCUAGAGAGUAGUUGCGGUAGGCGGAAUGUAUGGUAUAGCGGUGAAAUGCUUAGAGAUCAUACAGAACACCGAUUGCGAAGGCAGCUUACCAAGCUACUUCUGACGUUGAGGCACGAAAGCGUGGGGAGCAAACAGGAUUAGAUACCCUGGUAGUCCACGCAGUAAACGAUGAUAACUCGUUGUCGGCGAUACAGUGUCGGUGACUAAGCGAAAGCGAUAAGUUAUCCACCUGGGGAGUACGUUCGCAAGAAUGAAACUCAAAGGAAUUGACGGGGGCCCGCACAAGCGGAGGAACAUGUGGUUUAAUUCGAUGAUACGCGAGGAACCUUACCCGGGCUUGAAAGUUAGUGACGGAUCUUGAAAGAGGUCUUCCCUUCGGGGCACGAAACUAGGUGCUGCAUGGUUGUCGUCAGCUCGUGCCGUGAGGUGUCGGGUUAAGUCCCAUAACGAGCGCAACCCCUACCGUUAGUUGCCAGCAGGUCAAGCUGGGCACUCUGACGGGACUGCCGGUGUAAGCCGAGAGGAAGGUGGGGAUGACGUCAAAUCAGCACGGCCCUUACGUCCGGGGCUACACACGUGUUACAAUGGCAGGUACAGAGGGCAGCUACCCAGCGAUGGGAUGCGAAUCUCGAAAGCCUGUCUCAGUUCGGAUUGGAGGCUGAAACCCGCCUCCAUGAAGUUGGAUUCGCUAGUAAUCGCGCAUCAGCCAUGGCGCGGUGAAAAGGUUCCCGGGCCUUGCACACACCGCCCGUCA